AGGUGCUGGUGCCUGCCAACAAGCACACACAGUUGCAGUCACACCCUCGUGUAACCAUGGUGAGGAUUUGGCUGCCGGUCAUAGGCUCCAUUGUUCCCCAGCUAAGCCACCCUGGACUCGGGGACAGGAUUUAUGGGCAGACAUUGUUAGGAGAACAGAUGUUCGGGCAGGCAGGCCUGGGACCCGCUGGAGGGAGUCAAGAAGACACUACCUCCUAAUUAAUAGGCGGUAAAUGUCUGAGGAACAGACUCCUGUCCCAUUUCUUCAAACAUCUGGGGUUCCGGACACUUAGGCCCUCUGCCAGGAAACUCAGGCAUUGUUCUGCUGGAAGGAGAGAAGGCCAGGAGGCAACCCUCAAAACCUGGGUGUGUUUGGCCAAGGCCAAGUAGAGAUUUAAGGGUCUUCGAGUAAAGCAUUCAGGAUUCUUACUCUUCAUUUGCUAUCUUUCUUAAAGACAGAAUAAAAUAAAAUGGGAUUUAGGUUGGAUUCCAAAAAAAACUUCCUGACUAUAAAGAGGUAUUAGAAAGUUCAUUUCCUAGGACAGAUCCCUGAAAGAUGCAACCACAUCAAAUGCCCACUCUGCAGGCAGGAGACUGGACAAUUUGACAUUUACCACCACAGGCACGCUCAGAGGUCCCCUCAGGCAACUGGGCUCUAGCUCCCAUCUCAAGUGAGGCUUGUGGACAAUGCAAAAUCUAAAGUCAAACACAUCCUUUGCUAAAUUUAACAAGCAGAUAGGCAUAGCGUUCAGAUAUUAAAAUGAAGUCUUUUUUUAAUGAAUGGGCAGGGCUUGGAGUUUGCCAAUGUCAUCAAUGAGGUUAAUGUGGCUACGUUAAAGUUAGCACAUGAGUUUUGGAUGAUGCAGUUUAUCAAACCAGCAGGGACUGAGCAACAGCUCAGGCAGAAAGUUGGCGCCUGGCCUUAGGGAGCCCUGUCCGGCCUGGGUAUCCUUGCCCACGUGCCACAGCUAAAAUGCUGGUAGGACCUCGGGGACUUAAGGCAGGGUUGCUGCUACCCCCGGCUGUUUGGGCCAACACUUGAGCUCCGGCCUGGAACAGAAGGCUCCCUAAUAGGUUGUUAAGAGCCUGGGAAGGCGGAACAAGCUGGGCGGGGAGGAGGGGGCCUCAGGGGGCUGUUAUGAUAAGCAAGAGCUCAGUCUAAAGACAUGCUCCCAAGCUGAAGGUUUCAUUUCCUGCCAGGCAACUCACCCGUUUGAAUCAAACACAGAAUUUAGUAUUCACCAUAGAACAAUCAUAUGACAAAAACUUUGCAGAGUUUACCCAGAUGUAGGUUUUCCUUAAGGUAAAAGAGGAGUCAUAUUACCGAAGCCUCAUCUUCUCACGAGUUCAAAACCUCUCCAACCUCUCAGGAGAAACCAAGGGCCGGAAAGGUUAAAGGCCUCACCCUCAAGGUCCCACCAAAGAAUCGAAGCUGGUGCCAGCUCUCCGACUCCUACCCAGCAACCCGCCCCAGGUGGCCAGCAGCUGCCUCUGAGAAUGCAGAAGGCCGAGGGGGGCUGAGAGUGUUUCUAAAUCACAGCACACUUGCUCCAUCCCGAUGGCCUUGUGAUGCCUGAGGCAUGAGGGCAGGCCAGGACAGGAGCCA